CCGACGGUGAGGGGUGAAGUGCUGGGGGCGCAAACCGGAUUAGAUACCCGGGUAGUCCCAGCAGUAAACGAUGCCAGCUAUGUGUUGCUGGAACCAUGGGUUCCAGCAGUGCCGAAGGGAAGCCGUGAAGCUGGCCACCUGGGAAGUACGGUCGCAAGGCUGAAACUUAAAGGAAUUGGCGGGGGAGUACCACAAGCCGGUGGAGCCUGCGGUUUAAUUGGAUACAACGCCGGGAAUCUUACCGGAGGGGACAGCAGUAUGAAGGCCAGGCUAAAGACCUUGCCAGAUCAGCUGAGAGGAGGUGCAUGGCCGUCGCCAGUUCGUACCGUGAGGCAUCCUGUUUAGUCAGGCAACGAUCGAGACCCGCAGUCCUAUUUGCCAGCAUGCCCUUUGGGGUGUAUGGGUACAAUAAGACGACCGCCAGCGCUAAGCUGGAGGAAGGAGCGGGCUACGGUAGGUCAGCAUGCCACCGAAUCCUCCGGGAUACACGCGGGCUACAAUGGUCAGGACAAAAGGUACCG
rnacentral:rRNA from 1 species